rnacentral:rRNA from 1 species
AAUAGAUACCCUGGUAGUCCACGCUGUAAACGGUGGGUACUAGGUGUGGGGUCCAUUCCACGGGUUCCGUGCCGUAGCUAACGCUUUAAGUACCCCGCCUGGGGAGUACGGCCGCAAGGCUAAAACUCAAAGGAAUUGACGGGGCCCCGCACAAGCGGCGGAGCAUGCGGAUUAAUUCGAUGCAACGCGUAGAACCUUACCUGGGUUUGACAUGGAUCGGGAGCGCUCAGAGAUGGGUGUGCCUCUUUUGGGGUCGGUUCACAGGUGGUGCAUGGCUGUCGUCAGCUCGUGUCGUGAGAUGUUGGGUUAAGUCCCGCAACGAGCGCAACCCUUGUUCACUGUUGCCAGCACGUUAUGGUGGGGACUCAGUGGAGACCGCCGGGGUCAACUCGGAGGAAGUGGGGAUGACGUCAAGUCAUCAUGCCCCUUAUGUCCAGGGCUUCACGCAUGCUACAAUGGCUGGUACAGAGAGUGGCGAGCCUGUGAGGGUGAGCGAAUCUCGGAAAGCCGGUCUCAGUUCGGAUUGGGGUCUGCAACCG